rnacentral:lncRNA from 1 species
AGGAUUGGGUAGCUUUGGGGAUGUGCUGAGCUGGAUUUCCCAUGUCCUGGGUUUUCCCUUGCUUGUCUUGGGCUCCGGGAGAGAGUUUGUGGAGGAUUCGUGUUGUCCCUGUCCCCUCCCUGUGGAAAUGCAUGCCUCUGACAAUGUGGGAAGGUGGGGAGCAAUGACCAGGGUAGCCCUCACAGCCCUGCCCUAGGCCAGACGUGUCCCACACACUUGUCCUCCCACCCUGCAGUAACGGUUAUCUGCGCUGCCCCUGGUGCGGACGGGGCCUGGUGGCGAGCCCAAGUAGUGGCCUCCUAUGAGGAGACCAAUGAGGUGGAGAUUCGCUACGUGGACUAUGGUGGAUAUAAGAGGGUGAAAGUCGACGUGCUCCGGCAAAUUAGGUCUGACUUUGUG